AGUAACGGCGAGUGAAAGGAGAUGAGCUCAGCGCUGAACCGCUUGGUGACUCACUACUGCGGACUGUAGCGUAUAGGUGUGGCUAUUCAACAUUGCUGUACAUCCAAAGUACUCUUGACCGAGGCUACCAUAGAUGAUGCAAGUUCAGUACGGAUGACAGUGGUGUUGAUCGGCUAUUCCUUAGAGUCGGGUUGUUUGAGAUUGCAGCCCAAAGUUGGUGGUAAACCCCAUCUAAAGCUAAAUAUGGCCACGAGACCGAUAGCAAACAAGUACCGUGAGGGAAAGUUGCAAAGUACUUUGAAGAGAGAGUUCAAGAGGGCGUGAAACCGCUAAGAUGGAAACAAAUGGAGUUGACGUAGUCUUUUGACAAUCAGUUUGACUGAUGUGAUGACCCGGGUGAUUUGUUACUGUCAAAGGGACGGUUGUCUGGGAUGUCAUGUUAGUUGGAUGCACUUGUUGGAAGUAAGCGCUGAGAUGCUUGCAAGGAUUGACAGAAGGAAAGCAAUGAUGGACCUCUUCGGAGAAAACCUGUGCCUCUGGAUGUCAAGUCUCUGUAAGUAUUCGUAGACGUGUAUAGCCUUGUGCUUGGCAGUUUAAUGCUCAUAGUCUGUGCGUAAGGAGGCGUGCCUCUUUGCGUAUAGGUUGCGUUCACUAGGCUGUCUUGCUAUGUAUGCGUUUCUCGGUGUAAAAGUCAACUACCUAUUUGACCCGUCUUGAAACACGGACCAAGGAGUUUAGCAUAUGUGCGAGUAGUUGGAUGAUAAAUCUGAAUGCGUAAUGAAAGUGAAGGUUUCUUUAUGAAGCUGAUAUCAGAUCUGCGGUAAAACGUAGAGCAUGAUAGCCCCAUCUGAAUGGCUUGCCAUUAGGUGGAGGAAGAGCAUAUACGCUAAGACCCGAAAGAUGGUGAACUAUGCUUGAGCAGGACGAAGCCAGAGGAAACUCUGGUGGAGGUCCGAAACGGUUCUGACGUGCAAAUCGAUCGUCUGACUUGGGUAUAGGGGCGAAAGA
rnacentral:rRNA from 1 species